rnacentral:rRNA from 1 species
UGACUGUUUUCCAAAAACAUAGCCCUUGGAAUAAUCAAAGGUGUGACCUGCCCAAUGGCUCUAAAACAAAGAAAGGUAAUAUCUUUCUAAUAAAGCUUAAAGGACGCAGUAUCUUGACUGUGGUAAUGUAGCAUAAUCACUCGCCACUUAAUUGGUGGAUAGUAUGAAUGGUUAAACGAAUAUUACACUGUCUUUUAGAGAAAACUUAUGAAAUUAAAAUAAUAGUAAAGAUGCUAUUUAAAACUGUAAGACGAAAAGACCCUAUAGAGCUUAACUAUAAUAUGUGUUAAAUAAAAAUAAAUAAAAAGUUUAGAUAAUACACAUAUUGGUAGUUUAGUUGGGGCGACUAUCUUUUAAUAUGAACAAAGAUAAGCAAAGUUAAUAAAUUAAUUUAUUGUAUAAUAGAUAAAUUUAACAAUUAUGAAAAUAGGCUAUAGUGACCCAUUAGAUCUUAAUAACAAGACUAAUGAUUAAUAAAUAAAAGCUACCUUAGGGAUAACAGGAUAAUUUUGUUUUAGAGAUCUAUCGAAAACAAG